UGAAUGAGUUGUUCUGCAAAUGGAUUGAAUCACUUGCCCCUAUCCCAGGGCAGUAUGAAGGCGUGUUCAUUCCUAGAUCCUACUCAACACGUCCACGUCGUGCAGAAUGGUAGCAUUUCAUUACGAUGAAAUGACUAAGUUGAGAGGG
rnacentral:ribozyme from 1 species